CAGCAGCUGAGCAAACACAACCUUCCCAGAGAGUGGGGGAAAAGUUAUCAAUAAACUUCUGUCAAGCCCCAGGAGCAAAGAGAGAAACAAAAGGGGAGAGACCAAUGGCCUGGGUGGAGAAAAGAAGAGAAGGCUUCACCCCAUCAUCACUCACGUCACAAUCAGACACACUGAUUCUGGUCAGAGGACAUGAUGGGCUUCUCACCAGGACCUAACCGAGAUCUUGUACUACAUGGUAAAUAAGACCUGCUCAGAAGGGGACAUGGGGAUGUCUUUCUU